rnacentral:rRNA from 1 species
GAUGAACGCUGGCGGCGUGCCUAAUACAUGCAAGUCGAACGAACAGACGAGGAGCUUGCUCCUCUGUCGUUAGCGGCGGACGGGUGAGUAACACGUGGAUAACCUACCUAUAAGACUGGGAUCACUUCGGGAAACCGGCGCUUAUACCGGAUAAUAUCUUGAACCGCAUGGUUCAAUAGUGAAAGACGGUUUUGCUGUCUCUUAUAGAUGGAUCUGGGCCGCAUUAGCUAGUUGGUAAGGUAACGGCUUACCAAGGCGACGAUGCGUAGCCGACGUGAGGGGGUGAUCGGCCGCACUGGAACUGAGACACGGACCAGACGCCUACGGGAGGCAGCAGUAGGGAAUCGUCCGCAAUGGGCGAAAGCCUUACGGAGCGACGCCGCGUGAGUGAUGAAGGUCUUCGGAUCGUAAUACUCUGUUAUUGGGGAAGAACAAAUGUGGAAGUAACUAUGCACGUAUUGACGGUACCUAAUCAGAAAGCCACGGCUAACUACGUG